rnacentral:tRNA from 1 species
CGCGCGCUACAUCACGGGCGACCCGUCGGCCUGGUGGGCCGACGGCGCCCUGUUGCAGGAGUGGCGGCGCUUCGACGCGCGGCGCGCGGCC